rnacentral:lncRNA from 13 species
GGGCUGUUGAAAUGUCCCCCCAAUGGGUGUCCAUAGUCAGCCUACUUUUUCACUAUUUAUGAAUAAUUCCUUAUGUACACUGACUUCUGCAUAAUCUCAGUGAACAUCAUUACAAUGUAUCUUGCGCUGUCAUUACUUCGUGUUCAUUAUAGUGAACUAUUGAGGUAUUGAGAGAAAUACUUCUAUAUUCCCAUGUGCAAAUAUUUGCCAAAAUGCUCAAAUUCGCAACCAUGGAUAAAUAUAACACCGGUAGCUACAUUGUCUAUAAUUUAAAUAUUUGGAAAUGUUGCAUCUGUCAAAUGUUCUAGAACAGAUAUUAAAUUACAAAUUCUUUAAUUGAUUGGAUUCUAAUGUAUUGAUUGGUGCAGUUUUCCAACAUGGUACGAUUAUAUUACCAAUAGUCUAGAAUACAACUUUAUUAUAGGGUGGACAUGUGUGGCAUCUUGGAGACACAGUAUGUGGAUAGAAAUUGCUCAGUUUCAUUGACCAUCUAUAAACCAAAUUUUGUCCCCUGUUGUGGUAGUACGGCUUUAAGAGGCUUGUGUCUGUCCACGCGACGCAGUUUACACACAAGCAGCAAGGUCCCACAUCCUGGUACUUUUCAACGUUGUCAAGGAAGGCUUCGGUAGAGAGAAAGGCUGGCUCGAGGGAAGUAGCUGCAGUGUCCUGACAAUAUAUCUGUCCAAACGUUCACAAACUAUCCCGGAAAGUUAGGUGUAACUACCAGGACCAUCCGUUAUCUGUUAAUGUCAAGAUGUGGCUGGUGACCACCAGAGAUGGGAGACGGACAUAACAAGACCUAUAGGAUGUUACUCAAUAGCAUACAACAAUGUAGUCUAAAGGCUGACAGCAUCCAUAUCAGGUGAACAUUGGACUAAGGAGAGUGGGAUGAGUGAAGAUUCUGCAGCCAGCACAGUUUGGUGAAGAGCACGAGAGGUGACCAAUCAGCAACUAGCAUGCCAACCACCAAGGGAACUGGAGGGGCUGGCAGCCCACGGGGUCAGCGCUACCGUCCAGCCUCAGAGUUCGACGAUGCCACACUCGCCCAAAAGAGAGAGUACUGGAAGACCAAGAAACGAGAGCAGAGGGCCAAGCUGUCAGAGGUCAAGAGGGAAAAAGAUACAAACAGAGUGUGUAACUCCUUGGGCAGAAAUGCAGUCCAUAAGACCCUAACCUCUAUGGUGUUGAAUCCCAGUGCCUCUUGUUCAAUGGCAGGGUCUGCCCCCACUUUGUUGAAUAGCGAUGGUUCCUACCAAACCAAUGUCAGUGGUGCACCUGUAGUUUUAUUAAAGGGAAAGGGUUCUGCUAUCUCCUAUCAUCUGAACCAUAGUGCUGAAGAAGAGGACCAAAACUCUUCCUUAGCAAACCAAAAGGAAAAAUGGUUCCAGAGGAUAAAACUUGACAAAGUCUUGCCUCCGUUCCCAACGUCCAGUGCAGGUCUAGGAGAAGGUGCGAUGGUCUGCAAGAUGGCGGUGAAAAGUUCCCCAACAGGGGGCACUGUGAUCGGAACGGUUACCUCAGCAAAACCCAACGGAGUGCUGCUCAACAGUGGCUCCUCCUUGCCUCUGGGAAGAGUGGCUGUGAGACCCUCAGGUUCUGCACCUCACCAACCACAGGGUGGAAUGACUGUUCUGAAUGGCAGCUCUCCUGUAGUGUCAACACAGAAGCAACUGGCCACCCAGAGUGUAUCAAGGCCUGAUGCGUUUACUGAGACACAAGUUACAGUGCGUGUUCAGCCUGGACCGCUAACUGCUAACAUUACCUCAGGGUUGUCCAUCGUGACCAAUCAGCCUACCCCUGCCCUCAUUCCCAAACCAGAGGGUAGGCCUAUAGGGAUGAAAGUAACACAACUAGGUGGGACAAAGCGUGCCCCGGUCACAGCCCAAGAAGUUAGUUGUAUCAACGACACAUCAGCUACACUGGAGAUUGAGGAGGACAAAGCCACCAAGCGCAGAGAGAAUUGGCGCAUCAAGAAGCGAGAACAGAGAGCGAAGCAGGCGGUUAGGUUAACAAAGACUAGAGAGAGAAUCACGAACAUGGAGAUAACGUUGCAAAAAGCUGGAAUGUUACCCAACGUGGUCAUUGAACGUCCUCCGUCUGCUUUGAGUGGACAGGGCCAUAGGCAGUGUGUUAAUAGAGUCAGGGUCCCGUUCAUCUCAGCCGGACGCCUGCUGAAGAACGCCAGAGCAGUGGCUAGCGUUGUAGUCAAAAGGGAGUCUGAGGAUUCAGUCCUGGCUAAGCUAACUGCAGUCAAUGCUAAUCAACAGACUGUUCAGGUAAAAGUAGAGAAUCCGCAGGACGCUGAACCAACAAUGCAGACUGGCAUGGCAUCGAAUGUCAUUGGUUUUAAACUAGAAGGGGAACCAAGCAGAAGGCUUCCUGGUCCAGGGCAGUUUAUCAACACUAGCCAAGGUAUGGUCCGUUGUAGGACUCCGAGACAGAGGUUCAUUGACGCCCAAAGGAAUUUCCUGGGUCAGAGAAACAUGAGAAAGUCCCCCUGUCAUGCUACAGCCUUCAAAACCCGCAACGCACUCCGAGAGGACCCAACGGAGACACCCGAGCAGAGGGUGGCCCGGAAGCGGGAAUACUGGCGUGUCAAGAAGCGGGAACAGCGAGCUAAGCUGUCAGUGGAAGUCCGCGCUAAGAUGAAGGAGAAGGAUGCUCUGAUGCGAAGAGUCAACCGGUACCAGAGCAUAUUGGAGGAUAUGAGGAAGGCGAGAGCGGCGGGCUGCAACACACUGCCACAACCAACAGGAAAUGGGCCUACCCACACCAGCGCCUCAGAGACCAUUGGAGGGUUCAUCAAGGAGGACGGUACAUUGACCAAUACCAUUCCCCAAAUGUAUCUCAUUACAGAAGCAAAAGAGACAGGGGAUGAAAUUGGUGUCAUCGGUGGGAUGCCUGUUAAUAAUUCAUUUACCAACCCUAACAUACACCGCCAACACCAACUGCUUCCCAAACCCACUGGUGAUACAUCUAGUAAUGUGGUACAUCAAAUACGGGUCAACCCACCACCUCUAAUCCGUCCUGCUCAAGUUAAGGUCUCCUGUCCUCCCAUCGGCCUGUCAAUCAGAAAGCCUCCCAAGUUAGUUUCAGGCAGCCCCCCGAAAAACCUUCCUAAUCCACACACAGUUGUCCAGCCCCAGAGUCGGAUCACCCUCACACACCCUCAAAACAUUCAAAACACCUUUCCUGGUUUGUCUACAGCGAUACCGAAGCCGGCUAGCUGGGUCAUGCAGAUGGCUGUCAAAGCUUCUACAGCAUCAGCAGCGCUCAACUUGGACCCAAAGCUAACAGAGGAGGAAAAGAUGGCUAAGAAGAGAGAGUACUGGAGGGUAAAGAAACGAGAGCAGAGGGCGGCCCGCGCCACCCGCCUAAGGCAAGGAGUUCAAGCUAGGGGAAAGACUGCCUCACACAAGAGGCGGAACCAAAGGUUAGCACGAUUAGCUGUCGCCAUUCCCAAUGUCAACCACACACUGACCAUCAAGCCUCUCUCAAACACCAGUGUGUCCACGUCUCCACAGGGAGACCAAAUCAAACAAGAGAGAGGAUCAACCUCAACAGACGCUCCAUGUCCUCCACUGGAACAACCCCUCUGUGUUGAUAUCAAACCGUCCCGGUGUUCACCGCCACCACAGACCGAGCCACCAGACCCAGCCUUGAGUGCUGACAGCCAGGCCACCACUCUCUUAGUGGUGGCUUCUAUGAAGAAGCUGCUGGAGGAAUCGCUCAGCACUGUGGCUGACUGGAAAACAGAACAGCUGCCUUGUAAAAGUGAUCCUCAGACAUGUUCCUACGAGGAUGCUUCCGUCCAGAUGGAGGUCAAGCCAAAUCUACCUCUGCUCACCCUGGAAGAUGAGAAGGUCUCCCUAUCUGGUGACCUAUCGUUGGAGGUCAAAGGAUGGCAGGUGGACGCUGACGCCCUGCCAUCCUGCCAGGUAACCAUUUGUCCAUUGAGUCCUCAUCCUAAGGACUCUCCCCUGUCAAGUCCUUGCACUGAAAGUCUGUCUUUCCCAGCUCCCCCUCCCUCUGAUCCACCCUCUCACACACCCACACACUCUUGGUCCCACACGGCAGCUUCCAGUGAACCGCCGCUCCCUCUCCCUCGCAGAGCCCAGAGGCUGCGUGCCAAAAAAGCAGGACACCAUCACUGCUGUUCCCCAGAACCCCCGAAGCUACACCAUCAGCCUCAACAACAACAACAACAACCACCUCAUCAACAACAUGAAAAUCAACAUCAACAACAACCACCUUAUCAACAACCUCAAAAUCAACUACAACUUCAGCAACAUCAGCACGCCCCAGCGGUGACAGGCCAGAAUGUGACUCUGGAGAAGAAGAGGGAGUACUGGAGGAUGAUGAAGAGGCAGCAGAGAGCUAGGACGGUCAGGCAGGGAGGAGGGGGGCUGAGACGGGGGGACUACAGCAGACGACUGGCCCUCAAAGCAGCACAGGUUUCGAAUCUCCUCACUGUGAAGACACACACACAGAGACCAGUGCAGAGAAGCGGAAGCUUCGGUUUACACACAGCACCAUUGCUCAAACUGCAGUCCUCCCCACUUCUCCAGCCUAUAUCUCCCCAGCCUAUUUCUCCCCAGCCUAUAUCUCCCCCUGCUUCUGGACCCAAGGCUAGCCUCAGCAUGGUCACCAACAUCCCUACACUUCUGGUUGGAGACCCCACCACCUCCAACAUGGGACAGACAUAUGAUACAACACAGCUCAACCCUCCUGUCAACUGUACCAGUAUCUCCAAUUCACCCAUUGGUGACACAGGGUCCCCACAGACAUCUCAUAGCUUCAGUACCGUGUCCCUCCCUUUUGGAGGUGGUGUCACUGUCCCCCCAUUGAGUGAGGGGAAGAAAGACGGGCUGCUAUUGGUGGAGAACCAACAGGAAGCGGCCCCAGGAUUGAGCGCCAACUCGCCCCGCGUUCUAAAAUGGAGACUGCGAGUGCAGGAAACCUCAGACACCGAUACCUCACCCAUCGCUUCUCUCACACCUCCUCCCAACCCUUUGACUAGCAUAAAACUCUUACCCAUUCAGCCUCCCAGUCAAACAUCCUCUUUCACCCCAACACAGGCUCCUUUCAAAUAUCAAGGUGCUCAGAUUUCUCAAAGUGGGAAUGUACAAAAUGUACGAUUGCCGACAUUGCAGGGGCUCACCAAAAGCCCUAUCUACAUAAGCCCAAUGGGUCCGCCCAAGCCAGUGCCGGGGGAGUCGGAAGAGGAGACUCUGAGGAAGAAGAGGGAGUACUGGAGGGUGAGGAAGAAGGAGCAGAGAGCCAGGAAAGCUAUGAGAGAUGGGGAGAUGACAGAGAAGAGGCCCUCGGUCAACUGGCAGCCCAUCAUCACUAACACUCAUCAUCCUCAACAGCUGCUUGAGGAGAUGGAGACACAGGAACAGGAUCCUGACCGGUGGUUCAACACCUCCGAGGACUCUGAACUACUUCUGAGUACUUCCACAGAGACAGACAUGGGCUACUUUCCUGACUUUGGCCAAACUGAACCUUUAGAAGACGAAUCAGAGCUCCUUUUCCUACACGACGAUCUUGGCGACAACUAUGACGGCGCCAUCUCGGAUGUUGUAUGGAGGAAUCGCUACCUCAUGGACUACGACCCGCUGAACCAGCUGCUGGUGUGCAUGGUGUGCGGGGAGCUCCAGUACUCCCACAGCCUGGAGGGGGUGAGGGCCCACAUCGACGAGGCCCACCCAGAUACCCUGAGCCUGGAGUCCCCGGAGCACCUUCGCAUCCUAGAGGCCUGGGACGAGCAGGUGUCCAGGAGAGAACGCUUCUUCACCAGCCAGCUGCAGCAGCACAGUGGGACGAUGGGAGGGGACAGUGCCAACCUCCCAGCAGAAGUAAUGGUUGAUACAGAGGACUCGUCAUACCCGACGAACAGCAAAAGCUCCAGAACGAUUAAAAGACUCUGAGGGCUAAG